rnacentral:lncRNA from 1 species
CAGAAAAGUAAAAUUCAGAGAAAAACCCUCCGAAAUUUUCCACCAAAAUUCGGAGAAAAAUCGCCGGACUGAGUGUGGGAUUGAAGGUAAGAACUUGUUUUCCACCAAAAUAAAUUAUGUCCACAUGCUUCCUUCGUUAACCCGAGCUUGAAACCUUCCGAUUCACCUAAGACUUUCGGCUGAAGGAGACCGCGACCAUGCAAUCAAACUAGUUUCUUCCGACGGGGAUUUAGCUACUUCACUUGUGAAAGGUAAUUAUUUUGAUGAGGAACAUUACCCAUUUCGACGCAAAAUGCUGCAGAUUUUCACUUUAGAUGUUUAACGUAAUUAUUCUCAUUGUAAUUAUUUGACAUUUUGUGGAAGAAAAAUUAGAAAAUCUCUUCUUUUAUCCUUUUAUCCUUUUAUGAUGUUAAAUUCAUUCAGGGUUGGGUUUGUGUUUGUGUUCGAAUAAUUAUUAUUAUUAUUUUAUUUUUUAAAUUAGUGUCCAUUAAGAUCAUACUGUCUAAAAUGUGUAUAGAAUCUGGAAACAACUUGGUGGCAUAUGGAUGGACAGAAUGAUGGAGAAAGGUAAUGUCAUUGUAAUUUUUCGAAGUUGCACUAUUUCGAAACCUAUGUAUUUUCACUGCUCGGGCAAAUUUCUUAUUUCAUUUCUAAUAUUAUUGAAGCAAGAUUUCCAUGAACAUUUGAACAAUACUCAAAAUUAAUAUUGUCAUUUAAUAUGAUGCAGGAAAAGAGGUUGUGGAAGUAUUGGACAAUGAAGUUUUAGUAGAAUCCAAUAAUAACAACAAUACGGAGAAUGUCGUCAAUAAUACAAACAAUGUUGUCACAUUAGACGAUGAUAUCAUAGGAGGAGAUGGCGUGAUUGUGCCAAAUUGGUAUGGAGUUCAAAGAUGAGAAAGAGGUGUAUGAGUUUUAUAAGAGGUAUGCGUAUCACGUAGGUUUUCCGGUUAGGAGGAAGAAUUCUAGAAAGGGAGAAGAUGGAGUAGUGAAUUACGUUACGUUGACAUGUUGUCGUGAGGGCUGGAGAAGUAGUAAUGCAGGUGCUUCUUUGAAGCCGCAUCCAACAAUUCAGACAGGUUGCAAAGAAAGACUUACUGCUACUUCGAUAUUCGUCGAAUUUGGAAAAUUCGCACAAUUGAUCUCAAACACAAUCAUAAAACUAGUCCUUCAAAAUCCAGAUUGUAUCGUUGCAAUCGAGAAUUGAGUGCAAAUGUCAAACGCAAGCUCGAAGUGAACGAUAUGACUGGAAUACCUUUGCACAAGAGUUACAACUCAUCAGUUGUUGAAGCAGACGGGUAUGAGAACAUGACUUGCGUGGAAAAAGAUUGUCAAAAUUACAUUGAACAAGUGAGGCGAUUAAGACUCGGUGAAGGAGAUGUUGCGACAAUACAAUCCUACCUUUCACAAAUGCAAGCACAGUGCUUAGGUUUUUACUUCUAUAUGGAUUUAGAUGAAGAGUCACGGAUUAGGAAUCUCUUCUGGGCAGAUAAGAAGUGUAGGCAAGCAUAUAAGGAGUUCGGGGAUGCAGUGACGUUUGAUACCACUUAGCUCACAAAUAAAUACGGCAUGCCUUUUGCCCCCUUCCUUGGAGUAAGUCAUCAUGGACAAUCAACACUCUUUGGAUGUGGUUUGUUGGCAAAUGAAGAUACAUAUACAUUUGUUUGGCUAUUCAGGACAUGGAUGUAGUGUAUGCAUGGUCAAGCACCAAAUGGAAUCAUUACCGAUCAAGACAAGACUAUGCAAAAUGCAAUUGCGAUAGUCUUUCCAAAGUCGAGGUAUAGAUGGUGUUUGUGGCAUAUAUUGAAAAAGUUGCCGGAGAAGUUUGGGUACCACGUUCAGAAGGGCUCCAUUUUUUUGUCUAUACAUAGCUUAGUGUAUGAUACACAAGUCGUUGAGGAAUUCUAAGAAGGUUGGAAAGCUAUGCUUGAUACAUAUAACUUACAUAAGAAUGAUUGGUUGUUGGGGUUGUUUGAGAACAAGGGUCGUUGGGUGCCAUGUUAUUUAAAAACAACAUUUUAGGCGGAGAUGUCAAUAACUCAGCGCAGUGAGAGUAUGAAUGUGUUCUUCGAUGGUUAUGUGCAUUCUAAGAUAUCGUUGAAAUAGUUCGUCGAACAAUAUAAGCGAGCAUUACGAAAUAAAUUUGAGAAGGAAUUCCAAACAAAUUUCAAGUCUUACUCAUAGAUGGUAUUCUGUGCAACAAAAUAUGAAAUGGAAAAGCAAUUCCAGGUUGUUUAUACCAUUUCAAAAUUUUGGGGAUUUCAAGAUGAGAUAACUGGGAAUGUCUACUGCGAUAUGAUAUCUGCAUUUGAUAUAUGUUCGGAGAAGUUGUAUGAGGUUGAGGAGGAUGUCAUUUACAAAGAAAAUGUUAGAAAGAAAAAGUUUUCAGUCACAUUUCGAGCAGAGGAUUGCAAUGUUAUUUGCAGUUGCCACUUAUUCAAGUUUCGUAGCAUUUUGUGUAGACAUGACAUAUCAGUGUUGAUGCGUCAUGGCGUCACAUCACUAUUGGAGAGGAACAUAUUGAAGAGAUGGAGACGAGAUAUUAGUAGAGCCCACACGAGGGUUGUUGUGAAUUACUCCGGUUUGGUUAGCACUCCUAGCCAGUUGAGGUAUGAUAAAAUGGGUGAAGUGUUCGCGAUGUUGGCAAACAGUGCUGCCAACGAUGAAGAGCGAACUCGUGCGAUAAUAGAUUGGAUUCAAUCGUAGUCCAAAGACAUGAUGUCUACGAAGACGAGUUGGGUAAGUAAUAGCAUUUCGCAAUCUAAUUUGCAUUUAGGUUCGCAGCCUAGUUUGCAUUUAGAUUCACAAUCUAGAGCAUCACAUGACACUGGCAGUGGUACAAUACAAAAUCCUAAAUGUUCAAAAAGAAAGGAUGCACCAAAGAAACUUCGUCAUAAAAGCUCAUUGGAGUCAAGCUCAAAGGAAAAAAAAUGUUAUUUUUCUUUCACACAUUUUUAUCAUGUGUCGUACAUAAAUUUGAACGAAGUGAAAAUGUCAAUUAUUCUCAUGUCAUGCAGGCAGCAUCGACUUCCAGCAAAGGAUAGAGAUCGAGAGCAGCAAAAAACAAUCUUCGACCCGACACACCAUUCGUUCAGUCCUCGCCACAUGUACAAUAUUCAAUGAUGACACAAUUCUCAAAUUCACAAGUCAUAGCUGUAAGUAUAUAUUAUUGGCAGAUGUAUUGGAG